UUCAAUUUACAUUUAAUUGAAUACAAUUUUUUUUAAAUUUUAAUUGGAGAUUAUGUUUUUAUUGUACUAGAAUAUUGGCUUGGCUUAAAGCAAUUUGUUUUAUUUAUUUAGCCAGGCCUUGUUUAGGGCUUAGUUUGAUAAUGCACCACAGCCAAAUAUUUGGUGAACGAACAAAUGGCUGAGAGUUUGUUUGAAAUCUGUAUUUCAAGCUAUAUAAAUAUAUAUAUACAUAUCUACAUAUAUAUGUCAAUUCUUAAGCUAGUGCGAACGUUAUUUAAAACUCAACGAAAAUAAAUUUUUCUCUGCAAGAGCUACAAAAUUUUAGAUUCAGUGUGUAUAUUUUACUCUCUCAGUUUUUAUAUUCUUUUAAAGAAUUUAAAGAGUGUUGUAUUCUCUUUUUGGUUUUUGGCUUGUUAGAUUUAACACUAUUUGAUUCAACAAUAUUUGAGCAUAGACAAUGUGAAUUGCUGCGCUUGAUUGAUGCGUGCUGAAUUGGUAUAUUCGGAAUUUGCGAUACAUUUAGACCACUUUAAUCGUUGUAUAUAGUGACUGUACUGAAUUUGAUUGAAACGGACAUUCAGUGGACUCCAUAACGUGCAGAUAGGCAUUCAUGUCCAUUAAUGCAGCAUCUAUCUACCAAUUUCUAGGUAACAACAUAUCAUUUUGACAGGCGAAUCGGGCCGCUUAUUCAAUUUCGCAGGUGGCCCGCGAGCUAUCGGUUUGAAAAUUGGCUCUGUUGGUGGUCCUUGUGUCCUGCUGAAACCAGAUAUCAUCGGUGUCAUUCUUCCUAAUUAACACUGACCAUAACGAUACCGAAUUCGCUAAUGAAGUCACAUGAGCGAAAUGCCCCCAAAAAAAAAAAAACACGUCGCGACGUGAGCAUUUUCGACCCCCAAUGCAUUCCGUUUCAGCAGGCUCACUAGUUGAAAAUGAGGCAUACAUUGAAAACAGAAACAGAACCAGAAAUUCAUGAAAUUCUUUACCGCUGGCGAGCGGAUAUGGAUGGAUUUCGUUCAUUGCAGCAACUUGCAUUGGCCAAUAUCGAAUUUGUUUGUGGAAAAUGCUUCAAAAAUUCGUUCAUUUGCUGCUGACAAGGAUUGCUUGCGUAAACGGCAUUUGGUUUCUCUUCAAGUAAAAUUUGUUCCAAAAAUAUUCCAAUUUUGUUCAUCGCUUAUAAAUAUUUUUAAGCGACGUCGAAAAAUAAUCGAUAGUAAAAAUUGCAAAGGAUGAAUUUCCAACCCUUUUUCAUGCCAUACAAAAUCCAGUUAUGAACCUUUCGUAAAUAUAAGACUGUAAAUUACGAAAUUAAUACACAUACACAUACAUAAGGGUUAAGGGCAUAAGGGUUAAGGGAAAUCCAAGCGAUACUUUAAAGAGAAUUAUCUGUAAGAUAUUUGGAAAUUUUUAUAUACUGCCGCGUAUGUGUGCAUUUUGAGUCUGUCUGAGAGGAAGCUUAAGUAUUUGUGACUCCAUCUCGAUUCAUCUAUAAUUUAAUUUGAGCUCUUUCUACUAAAUGACUUUGGCUUGUUCUGCUAAUGAACUCAUGCCGCCUAAUGUUAGUCCGUUUCCCAAACCUUUAGCAUAAUAGAUUUUGUUUCCUCACAUUGAUGCAAUUUGCUGAAUCAAUGAUUGCAGUGGCCUUAAGAAUAUUAUUAUUACUUCUCCAUCAAUUGUUUAGCAAAAUAAGGAAUAAUUAAGAAAAUAAAAAUCAACUAAAGUAAUUGCAAAUAUAUGAAUUUAAUUCGAUUGUAAAUUUGCAGCAUGACGAAGCUAAUUCGCAAACUAACUAGUCAAAUUAAUAUUUACUCAGACGCACACGUUGUCUGUGAAGCUCAUUUGGGCUAUUCAUUGCCUCGAACGUAACUCGAAAUUUAUUCAAUUGUGUAUUGAAUAACGGAUUGCAACACCGUCUAUUGUCCUUUAGCUAAGGACAUAUUAUUGCUACAAAACAAUUUUACCAUGACUAUUGAAUUUGCAUUAAUAACUUCGCUUCAAGCUUCAACUACUGUGCUCAAUGUGCCUUUGACUUGUUUGUGAUUUGGCAAAUUCACACAAAGCAUGUGACUGUAUACAAAUACAUAUAUAUACGUGUUUCUGUGUGUUUGUAUGCUUGUGAGCCGACAACUAAACGUGUCAACAAGCAUGCAGGCUAACUGGCAGCCCAGUUCAGCAGCUGCAGCCACCUGAACAGAAUUGGCCCGGACACAAACCACGUUGUGGCCCAGCCCGAUCCGACCCGGCCCGGCCCACUGACAUAUUAGGCGUACUCCUUUUGGCCACACACAUAAAUGUCGGAAUGGCUAAAGUGUGCAGCCUGUUGUUGAUGCGGCGAGUAAAUGUUGUUGCCACUUCGAUAAAAUGACAAAUUCGUUGCCAAAUUGCUCUUUGACUAAACGACUGCGCAAUAGAGACAGCGAUAGAGACUGUGACAACGACAACGACAACGACAACGACAACCACAGCAACAACAACAACAACAACAAUCUGCAAUAGGAACAACAAAUUGUUUUAUGUUAAUAGUUUAUUGGCUGAUACUCUCGAUGCCGUUACAGCUAGUAGAACAUGUGAUUCAGGCCUUGACCUACACUAUGGAAUUAGAUGUGCCUUGGCAGGGCAGUGCAGGGCAGCGCUGGAUAGGGGAGGGCAGGGCGGUGCACGGUUUACUACCCGCGCCUCCAUUGAGACCUUGGCGCGAAAUGCAUUCCGAAUCGUUGUCGUAGCACUUGACGGGAUUGCAGCACGCCGUGCACUCUAUUGUGCAUUAAUUAAAAGCCUGUUAUGUUUCGCAUUAAACGUGACAGCGUUUGUGAGAAAUAGCAGCAGGGACAUCGUCAGCAGUGACUGGAACAGGGACAGCGACACGGACAGGGAGCUGGGAGCAGAGACUGGGAGAUCUGUCCUCGACAGGGGCAAAGGCGUGCCAAUGUUGUCCUUGUUUAUCAAUCGAUUGUCUGUCUGCAGGCCUUGGAGCGCAUGCAUUUCAUAAUUAUUUGUCAGUGCCUCAGCACAGAUUCCAUAACUUGGAGGAACAUAAGCUCCCUAGCUGGCCUUCCCCUCGAUGUCUGCCUUGUACUCUGUGUUUGCACAUUCUUGCCAACUGGGCCGCUUACACACAAGUAAUUAGGUUGUGGCUUCGGCAUUCUUUCCUUUUGGUCAUGAUUCCUUUGGCGCAAACCCGCAUGCGGUUGUCAAAUAAGCAGUGGGCAUAGCUAUCUGUGUACAAGAAUUUCUCUCUAUGUGUGUGUGUGUGUCUUUGUGUGUGUGAGUGUGGACACAAGUCACCUACUUUAGUUUGGACUAUGGGCGAGCGAUGGCAUGAUUUAGCAAUGCGACCACAGCAGCAACUAUCAGCAGCAGCAGCAGCAGCAACUCCGUAGUUGAUGAUGAUGUUGAUGAUGAUGAUUAUGGGAGAGCGCCGGUGAUGAUUGGGUUAACGACUACGUGGCGCAGACAUUGCGCCAUAAAUUACGAAUAUUUUUGCAAGCCCUUAGCGCUGCUUGCUGCUGUUGCUACUGUUAGACAAAUAUCAGCGCUGCUAGCGUCCGCAUUGACUGAGACGCCGGCAGCGCUGCUGGCAGCUUUGAGCAUGUGCCUGUAGUAAGAAUUGCUUGGCCAGCCUAAAAUUUUUCGUUCUACCAGUGCGCAUGUCCUGCACAGCAUCCUGUACAGAUUCAGCAACAGCAGCAGCAGCCAGAGCUGUGGCAGCAAGAGAAGCAAAAGCAGCACGAGUAGCAGCAGCAGCGACAGCGGCUGCGGCAGCGUCGCCAGCAACACACCACCAAGCAGCCAGCCGCCCACAGACAGCCAGCCAGCCUCAAAUCGCCAAUAUAGUCAUCUCUUUCGCACGCAUUGAAAUGGCACAUAAAGCUGCCAUCUGCACCGGAAAUUGAUUGCUAGGUGAAAAACUGAAGCUGCGGCUGCUCUGCUGCUGCUGCUGUUGACGCUGGCUGCAUUCAGCUGCGAGAGCUAAGCAGUUGGCAGCAUUGUUGAAUUGCUGCUGAUAACUCGGAGUUUAGUCUAUAAUUGUGCACCUUGCUGGCUGGAACUGUGGCAGUGUAACGCGAGCCCUAGUCUGGAUAGGACGGGUACACAACAACAGCAGUAGUAGUGACAGCAGCAGCAGCAGCAGCAGCAGCAACAUUCAGUACGGCUUUAACAACGUUGACGCUUACUGCACACACACACACACACACAUAUAUACGCAGUCACUCACAUAUACCAGCUAGUGUGAGUGUGAGCCACAUAUAUCGGGCUCAUCCUCGUCGCUGUCGUCGUUGUUGUUGCUGUUGUUGUAUUCGCUGCCAUACGGCGCAAGCCAGUGCAAAAAAAAAAAGAAAAGAAGAAUGAAAUAAAGAAAACCCGAAAUAAAAAGAAAUGAAAUCAGUGAAGCUAUAAGCGCAAAUGUACGACACAUAAGAAGAGAAACGAAACUUUUUAAUUUUAAAAGCAAGUGCUCGAAAACUUUUAAGGCCCAGCUCAGAAAUAGUUUGCCAACUGCCGGCGCACAAAAGUGGGCCAUGAAAAUUUGUGGCCUUUUGUGAAGCUAAGACGGGCCAAGGCAACAUAAAACAUGAAAAAACUGCAGCAAGUGCUUUUGACUGUUUGUUUAGAUGAGUGCAAGAGAUCAACCCUCAAUACCAAGAAAAAAAAAACAGUC